UACGGGGGGAGCAAGCGUUGUUCGGAUUUACUGGGCGUAAAGGGCGCGUAGGCGGUCGUGACAAGUCACUUGUGAAAUCUCCGGGCUUAACUCGGAAAGGUCAAGUGAUACUGUCGGACUAGAGUGCAGAAGGGGCAACUGGAAUUCUCGGUGUAGCGGUGAAAUGCGUAGAUAUCGAGAGGAACACCUGCGGCGAAGGCGGGUUGCUGGGCUGACACUGACGCUGAAACGCGAAAGCUAGGGGAGCGAACGGG
rnacentral:rRNA from 1 species